rnacentral:rRNA from 1 species
UAAAUUAGUAUUAGUUAUUUUCUUAAAAAUUAAGUAAUUUGGCGGUAUUUUAAUCUGAUUAGAGGAAUCUGUCCUAUAAUUGAUAUUCCACGAAAAAAAUUAUUUAUAAUUUAAGUUUAUAUAUCAUCGUAAAAAUUAUUUUAUAAAAAUUAUAAUAUUUAUAAUUUUUAAUAAAAAAAUUAAUCAGAUCAAGAUGUAGCUAAUUUAUAAAUUAGAGAUGGAUUACAAUAAAUUUAUGUAAACAUUAAUGGUUAUUAUUUUUAAAAAAUAUUAUAAAUAGGAUUUAAAAGUAAUAAUAAAAUUUUUUUAUUAUGAUAAAGUUCUAAAAUAUGCACACAUCGCCCGUC